rnacentral:piRNA from 1 species
AGUAGGAUUACACAAUGCACCAG